UACGUAGGGGGCGAGCGUUGUCCGGAUUUAUUGGGCGUAAAGAGCGUGUAGGCGGCCAGGUAGGUCUGCUGUGAAAACUCGAGGCUCAACCUCGAGACGUCGGCGGAAACCAUCUGGCUAGAGUCCGGAAGAGGAGAGUGGAAUUCCUGGUGUAGCGGUGAAAUGCGCAGAUAUCAGGAGGAAUACCGGUGGCGAAGGCGGCAUCCUGGACCGACAUUGACGCUGAGGAGCGAAAGCUAGGGGAGCAAACGGG
rnacentral:rRNA from 1 species